rnacentral:tRNA from 2 species
GGGCCUUUAGCUCAGUUGGUUAGAGCAGCCGGCUCAUAACCGGCGGGUCCGGGGUUCGAGUCCCUGAAGGCCCACCA